rnacentral:tRNA from 1 species
GGAAGCGUGGCCGAGCGGUUUAAGGCAGCAGUCUUGAAAACUGCCGUGGGGGCAACUCCACCGUGAGUUCGAAUCUCACCGCUUCCGCCA